rnacentral:rRNA from 1 species
AUUGAACGCUGGCGGCAGGCUUAACACAUGCAAGUCGAACGAUUGGCGGACGGGUGAGUAAUGCUUGGGAAUCUAGCUUAUGGAGGGGUAUAACUACGGGAAACUGAAGCCAAUACCACGUACCUUAGGCUGAGCCCUAGUGGGAUUAGGUAGUUGGUGAGGUAAAGGCUCACCAAGCCCACGAUCUCUAGCUGGUCUGAGAGGAUGACCAGCCACACUGGGACUGAGACACGGCCCAGACUCCCACGGGAGGCAGCAGUGGGGGAUCUGCCGCAAUGGACGAAAGUUGACGGAGCAACGCCGCGUGAGUGAUGACGGCCUCCGGGUGGUAAAGCUCUGUUAAUCGGGAGACGGUACCGGAAUAGAAAGCCACGGCUAACUACGUGCCAGCAGCCGCGGUAAUAC